rnacentral:rRNA from 1 species
UACGAAGGGUGCAAGCGUUACUCGGAAUUACUGGGCGUAAAGCGUGCGUAGGUGGUUGUUUAAGUCUGUCGUGAAAGCCCUGGGCUCAACCUGGGAAUUGCGAUGGAUACUGGGCGACUAGAGUGUGGUAGAGGACAGUGGAAUUUCCGGUGUAGCAGUGAAAUGCGUAGAGAUCGGAAGGAACAUCUGUGGCGAAGGCGACUGUCUGGGCCAACACUGACACUGAGGCACGAAGGCCAGGGGAGCAAACGGG